UCCCAUGGAAUGGAGAAAUGUUUUCCUGGAUGAUUACUAAACGCAGCGUAAAUUUUUGUUGAGAUUACUCAUCCAGAAGAAGAAAUUAUCUAAAAUGGAUUUCCGGUUCUAGAAAUCAUCUAACAAUAGUUUCUGUUUCUCAUCCAUUCUUCAUAAUAGUGGUGAACCUUCUUUGAAAUUCUGAUUCCUAGAAUUUACCGAUAGUCGUGUGAGUUGAUCCCAAUCAAAUAGUUUCUUCCACCAAUACUUCAGUGCAGAUUUGAACUUUUAAAACUGAUGCUACGCCUUUCUCUGUAGGGUUUUGUGAGCAAUCUUCUGGGAUUAAUGGGUUCUGGCCUUAUUGGCCUUUGAUCUACAGAACAAUCAGAACUCUUGUCAAUGGCGACUCAGAUCCUACUGAGAGUUAAACUCGCUUUGAAGCUUCCAAAAUGCUCUUCCAUGGCCAUUCGCUCCAAAACAACUUCAUCUCAGUAUGUGGCAUCAAGGGCCAGAGACCCAACCUUCGAGAAAUUCAUGGCCGACUACAAAAACUUUCUUAAGGUAGUCUCUGUUCAAGAUCUUAUCCUUGCGAACCCUAAAAACCCAACACUUCCCCUUGAUUUCCUUGACAGGCUUUCUCAGAAAUUCCAUCUCAACCGUGGAGCCCUUCAUUUCAUCCGUAAAUAUCCCCACAUUUUCACGCUCUUCUAUGACACCUCAGAGUCAAAACCAUUCUUCAAAUUAACUGAAGCUGCAAUUGAGAUUUCUCGUCAAGAAGCAGCUGCAAUUGAUGGUUCGAAGCCCGUUGUCAUUGAUCGAUUAGUUCGACUCCUUUCAAUGUCUAUCUCAAAAUCUCUACCCCUUCGAGCAAUUUUCAAAGUCUGGAGGGAACUUGGCUUGCCUGAUGAUUUUGAGGAUUCGAUAAUCUCCCACAACCCUACUCUUUUUUCUCUCUGUGAUGCCCAUGAACCUAAAACUCAUAUCUUGGAAUUGGUAACUGGAAACCUAAAUCCUGGCUUCUCAGCCGCAGUUGAGAACUGGAGGAUUUCUGAAUCUUGUAAGGAGGAUGCUGGGGUUGAUACAUCUGAAAUUCGAUUUGCUUUUAAACACGGGUUUCCACCUGGGAUGAGAUUGAGCAAAGAUUUGAAAGCCAAGGUUAAGGAUUGGCAAAGGUUGCCAUAUUUGGGACCUUACGAGGAGAUGGGAGUGAAGAGAAAGUCCAAAGCUGGUAUGAAGGGCCUGGAGAAGCGGGCUGUUGCAGUUGUUCACGAGUUCUUGAGUUUGACAGUGGGGAAAAUGGUGGAGGUGGAGAAGAUCAGCCAUUUUCGGAAUUGGUUUGGGAUUGAUUUGAAUAUUAGGGACCUAUUUUUGGAUCACCCUGGGAUCUUUUAUUUGUCAACCAAAGGGAAGAGACACACCAUUUUCCUGAGAGAGGCUUAUGAACAGGGGCGUUUAAUUGAUCCAAAUCCCGUUUAUGACGUAAGGAGGAAGCUUUUUGAUCUUGUUAUUCUGGGACGCCGAGGUCUUCAUAUGGGUGAUUGUCCGCAGCGAGGGAACUUGAUGAGGAAAGGGAUCUGAGGUUUUGAAGUUCUAGACUCAGAUAUGUCCACAUGAGUAGGGGGAAUAAGAAUUUUGGAUGCCAUUAGUAUGAAGUUUGUUGUUCAAAUGGUAAGAGGGGGGAGGUGCUAUUAUUUAUUUUGACUCCAAGCUGUGUUGAGAUUGUUUAAUAGAAUCAAAGUAGUAUUUUACAAGUUAGAUUAUCAAAGUUUUGGUUGGCUAUGUUUUCUGCAUGAUUUUUGUGUGUUCAAGGUAUUUGGAACUCAUUUUCGAAGACAAAGUUACCUAUCGGAAAGGCGUUUGGCAUUUUGCAGAUCCCAUCGGAAUUAAGGAUUCUGGAAAAAGGGAGAAAGGCUCUUUAAGGACGAAUUGGAGGAGUAUAACUCAUUGUAUAAGGAUUAAUAUCCUGACUUGGCAUCUGGAGGUGUAUAGGAAUAACCACAAGGUGUGCAGGGGUAAGGGUGUAUGGGGAUAAUCAUGUGGGGAGACUUUGGUAGCCGAAUCUGCUGCCCUAUAUCAGACAUGUUGCUGCCUUGGGACAACUGCACAUGACAUCAUAGCAGCACGACCGAAUGGAGGGUGGUUGUAGAUCACAAAGUCCGCCAACAAGCAAAGGGCCGACCAUGUACAAUGGCUAGUGCACCCUUUAGAACACACAGCCCACAGGUCGCCUACUGGAGCAAACUGACCCUUUGAGCUCUGCUGGUGACAGUUGACUAAGAUUAACCAGUAGCUGCGUCACUGCUUCUGGGAAGGAAUCACCAAUGUUUGCCAGUGGAAGCAAAGCACAUCGUGAUAUGGCGCAAUGCUGAAGAGAUUGAUUGAUUGGCUCCGCAAUCAGCAUGAUUUGUCAGAUGACGAUGCAUGUGCGGUAGUGCCGAUGGGUAGUGAUGUUUCUUCCUCAAUGCCCAAGUACAGAGCUGGUGACUGGUGGACACUAAAGGUUGAGGAGCAUGACCUUGACUAUGUCUAUGACACAUGUGCGUACCCAGCACCAUGAGUCGGGUGGUCAUCUACUAUUAUUUUGAUAUCAUAUUAUUGAGUGGUAUUCUUUUGGAAUUAUUAUAUGUACAUCAUGAACGGAUGUGAACGGAAUAACUCUUGUGAUGUAAUACUAACAUUAGAUAUUAUCCCCGCUAA